rnacentral:rRNA from 1 species
AUUGAACGCUGGCGGCAUGCCUUACACAUGCAAGUCGAACGGCAGCAUGGAAGAGCUUGCUCUUCUGAUGGCGAGUGGCGAACGGGUGAGUAAAGCAUCGGAACGUACCGUGUAGUGGGGGAUAACGUAGCGAAAGUUACGCUAAUACCGCAUACGCACUGAGGUGGAAAGCAGGGGAUCGCAAGACCUUGCGCUAUACGAGCGGCCGAUGUCAGAUUAGCUAGUUGGUAGGGUAAAGGCCUACCAAGGCGACGAUCUGUAGCGGGUCUGAGAGGAUGAUCCGCCACACUGGGACUGAGACACGGCCCAGACUCUACGGAGGCAGCA